UACAGAGGGUGCGAGCGUUGUCCGGAAUCACUGGGCGUAAAGGGCGCGUAGGUGGCGCCCCAAGUCGAUGGUGAAAGCUCGCCGCUCAACGGCGAGUCGGCCACCGAUACUGGGGGGCUCGAGCACUGUAGAGGCUAAUGGAAUUCCGGGUGUAGCGGUGGAAUGCGUAGAGAUCCGGAAGAACACCGGUGGCGAAGGCGGUUAGCUGGGCAGUUGCUGACACUGAGGCGCGACAGCGUGGGGAGCAAACAGG
rnacentral:rRNA from 1 species